UACAGAGGUCUCAAGCGUUGUUCGGAUUCAUUGGGCGUAAGGGGUGCGUAGGUGGCGCUGUAAGUCGGGUGUGAAAUUUCGGAGCUUAACUCCGAAACUGCAUUCGAUACUGCGGUGCUUGAGGACUGGAGAGGAGACUGGAAUUCAUGGUGUAGCAGUGAAAUGCGUAGAGAUCAUGAGGAAGACCAGUGGCGAAGGCGGGUCUCUGGACAGUUCCUGACACUGAGGCACGAAGGCCAGGGGAGCAAACGGG
rnacentral:rRNA from 1 species